rnacentral:rRNA from 1 species
AGUGAACGCUGGCGGCAGGCCUAAUACAUGCAAGUCGAACGGCAGCACAGCAGAGCUUGCUCUGUGGGUGGCGAGUGGCGGACGGGUGAGGAAUACAUGGGAAUCUGCCCAGUCGUGGGGGAUAACGUAGGGAAACUUACGCUAAUACCGCAUGCGCCCUUCGGGGGAAAGCCGGGGACCUUCGGGCCUGGCGCGAUUGGAUGAGCCCAUGUCGGAUUAGCUAGUUGGCGGGGUAAUGGCCCACCAAGGCGACGAUCCGUAGCUGGUCUGAGAGGAUGAUCAGCCACACUGGAACUGAGACACGGUCCAGACUCCUACGGGAGGCAGCAGUAGGGAAUAUUGGACAAUGGGCGCAAGCCUGAUCCAGCCAUGCCGCGUGAGUGAAGAAGGCCCUCGGGUUGUAAAGCUCUUUCGGCCGGGAAGAAAUCGCACAGGUUAAUACCCUGUGUGGAUGACGGUACCGGAAUAAGGGAGCGACCGGCUAACUACGUG